rnacentral:rRNA from 1 species
GUUGAACGCUGGCGGCAUGACUUACACAUGCAAGUCGAACGGCAGCACGGGGCAACCAGGUGGCGAGUGGCGAAAGGGUGAGUAAUGCAUCGGAACGUACCUUUCAGUGGGGGAUAACGUAGCGAAAGUUACGCUAAUACCGCAUAUUAUGUGAUCAGGCAAGCAGGGGAACGCAAGACCUUGUGCUGAUUGAGCGGCCGAUGUCAGAUUAGCUAGUUGGUGAGGUAAAGGCUCACCAAGGCGACGAUCUGUAGUGGGUCUGAGAGGAUGAUCUGCCACACUGGAACUAAGACACGGUCCAGGCUCCUACGGGAGGCAGCAGUGGGGAAUUUUGGACAAUGGGGGCAACCCUGAUCCAGCCAUGCCGCGUGAGUGAAGAAGGCCUUCGGGUUGUAAAGCUCUUUCGGUCGGGAAGAAAUCGCACGGGCUAAUACCCUGUGUGGAUGACGGUACCGGAAUAAGAAGCACCGGCUAACUACGUGCCAGCAGCCGCCGUAAGAC